rnacentral:rRNA from 1 species
UGAUCUUUGAUCAUGGUCUCGCGAAAACUUGUAUUUAAAACCCCACUCUUAUAAAUUGAAUCAUUUUAUAUUAUGUAUGUAAUAAAUAAAGAUCACUUUCAACAACGGAUCUCUUGGCUCUCGCAUCGAUGAAGAACGUAGCGAAGUGCGAUAAGUAA